UAAAACCACCCUACAGGGGGGAUGAGAACCACCGACCGGGGUUCGACAACUGGCGCAGCCAGUUGGACAGACGACGAGCUUGCGAGGAGACUGCCCGAAGGGCGAGCGCAGCGAGUCAAUCCCCCCCUCGCCGCCA
rnacentral:sRNA from 1 species